rnacentral:rRNA from 1 species
GUGCCAGCCGCCGCGGUAAGACGAACCGUGCAAACGUUGUUCGGAAUCACUGGGCUUAAAGGGCGCGUAGGCGGAUUGACCAGUCUGUGGUGAAAUCCUUCAGCUUAACUGAAGAAGUGCCGUGGAUACUGUUAGUCUCGAGGAGGAUAGGGGCAUCUGGAACUGCCGGUGGAGCGGUGAAAUGCGUUGAUAUCGGCAGGAACUCCGGUGGCGAAGGCGAGAUGCUGGAUCCUUUCUGACGCUGAUGCGCGAAAGCCAGGGGAGCAAACGGGAUUAGAUACCCCCGUAGUCC